GGAGGAUAAAUUGCAAAACAAAGAGGAUUACCUUAUAGAAACUUCAAUGGAGAUUGAAAGAAAUCAAAUUAUUCCCAUUGAUUUGAAGAGCCUUUCAAAUGUUAAUCCAUUUGAUUUUGUAAGUCCAGAUCCUUUUAAAGAUGCAAAGGAAAGCAUGAGGUGUUUGAUUUCAAGGAAUAAAUAGUUGAUUGUUCUCCUAAUGCAAU
rnacentral:misc_RNA from 1 species